UUGGCUAAGAAAGUUUUUGUAUAUUGUUACAAUUUGAAUAGAUGGUUUUGAAAAGAAGAAUUGGCCUUGAUAGGUUGCUAAAAGUGGUUCUGUGAAAGUGGAACAACUUAUGAAUAUUGAACGAUACUCGCAUGUGAUGCACAUAAGCUCAACGGUAAGUGGAGAGUUGCAAGAGCAUUUGAGUAGCUGGGAUGCCCUGCGUAGUGCAUUGCCAGUGGGAACUGUGAGUGGAGCACCAAAGGUGAAGGCGAUGGAGUUGAUUGAUGAGUUAGAGGUGACAAGAAGAGGGCCUUACAGCGGAGGAUUUGGAUACAUAUGUUUCUCCGGCGAGAUGGAUGUGGCUCUUGCUCUGAGGACAAUGGUAUUUCCGACAGGAACAAGGUAUGACACAAUGUACUCAUACAAAGAUCUCAACCAGCGACGCGAGUGGAUUGCUUACCUUCAAGCUGGUGCUGGAAUAGUUGCUGACAGUGUUCCUGAAGAUGAACACCAAGAGUGUCAAAACAAAGCUGCUGCUCUUGCUCGUGCCAUUGACUUGGCUGAGUCCUCAUUUGUUCAUAAAUAAUUAAUCGCUGCUUCUUUCCAUACAAACUUUAUGGAGUCGCAAAAAUUAUAUUAUGCAUUUUAUAAUAACUUUUAUGUUUAUUAGUAUUAUUAGUAAUAGUUUCGUAUUCAAUGCAAUGUGAUGUCUAAAGUUAUUAGUAUAUUUUUAUUAAGACCUAUCAGAGGAGAUAUAAAUCAUUAGUCUAUAGUUUUAUAAUUACUUUUAUGUUUAUAUUGUUAAUAAAAAGAACAUUUUGAAAAGAUAUUUUGAACUUUUUAGUAAAUUAUUUGUCGUACGGUGACUUAGACUAAGGAUUUAUAUCUGUUUUGAAGGGUCUGGAUUUAGUUAAUAAAAAUAUUAUUAAUAACAAGGAAUAUGUUGGCAUAACUUUAUUCUUAGAAAUAAAAUAAAUAAAUAACGACAAGUAAGCUUGUUGUACAAAUUUUGAAACGCAUCUAACAUACUACUGGGUUGUUAAUAAGAUUUUUGUUCACUAUGAUUGUUAGAAAAAGAAUGAUAAGUUGAUAAGUUAAACAUGGAAAAUUAGUAUUUUCUGACAUAAGAAUUAAAAUACAAACAAUGUUUAGAAUAAUAAACAUUAAAGAUAAAUAUAAUAGUGGACAAAACAAAUUGAAAAUUAUUUCCGACCUUAAGCAAAAAAGAAAAGUUCAACACGAUUAUCCUAAAAAUUAGGAAGGAAAAGAUUCAUUGUGAACAUGCAUAAAUUUUUGCAUGCUAGAAUUAGAAGCAGAAGUUGUUAAAGUAACAGAGUUUACACAGAUGUUUUCUGCGACAAUUCCAAUGUCUCUUACUUCCUUCACUCCUGCAAAUGCUUCUCUAUCUUUCUCCCGCCGCGUGGUUCCCCCCGGAAGCCGUUUAUCUCCGGUUGCACUCACUGGCAUAUCCUUCUCACGCGCUCCUUUCACGUUGAGGUGCUCUUCCCUAAAAAAUUCUUCCCAUCGUAAGUGUUUUUUUUCGUAAUCUUGAUCCCAGAUUCCCACGUUAAAUUAUAUGAAGAAUGACAAAAGGUGACUAUCUUUUUAUAAAGAUUUACUAUUGUUCCAUUUUUGAAUACAUUCUAUGUCUGAAUGGAUA
rnacentral:lncRNA from 1 species